AGAGUUUGAUCCUGGCUCAGAUUGAACGCUGGCGGCAUGCUUUACACAUGCAAGUCGAACGGUAACAGGGUGCUUGCACCGCUGACGAGUGGCGAACGGGUGAGUAAUGCAUCGGAAUGUACCGUGUAAUGGGGGAUAGCUCGGCGAAAGCCGGAUUAAUACCGCAUACGCCCUGAGGGGGAAAGUGGGGGACCGAAAGGCCUCACGUUAUACGAGCAGCCGAUGUCUGAUUAGCUAGUUGGUGAGGUAAGAGCUCACCAAGGCGUCGAUCAGUAGCGGGUCUGAGAGGAUGAUCCGCCACACUGGGACUGAGACACGGCCCAGACUCCUACGGGAGGCAGCAGUGGGGAAUUUUGGACAAUGGGCGCAAGCCUGAUCCAGCCAUGCCGCGUGUCUGAAGAAGGCCUUCGGGUUGUAAAGGACUUUUGUCCGGGAGCAAAUCCUAGUGGUUAAUAACCGCUGGGUCUGAGAGUACCGGAAGAA
rnacentral:rRNA from 2 species